AUGAACGCUGGCGGCGUGCCUAAUACAUGCAAGUCGAGCGAACGGACGAGAAGCUUGCUUCUCUGAUGUUAGCGGCGGACGGGUGAGUAACACGUGGAUAACCUACCUAUAAGACUGGGAUAACUUCGGGAAACCGUAGCUAAUACCGGAUAAUAUUUUGAACCGCAUGGUUCAAAAGUGAAAGACGGUCUUGCUGUCACUUAUAGAUGGAUCCGCGCUGCAUUAGCUAGUUGGUAAGGUAACGGCUUACCAAGGCAACGAUGCAUAGCCGACCUGAGAGGGUGAUCGGCCACACUGGAACUGAGACACGGUCCAGACUCCUACGGGAGGCAGCAGUAGGGAAUCUUCCGCAAUGGGCGAAAGCCUGACGGAGCAACGCCGCGUGAGUGAUGAAGGUCUUCGGAUCGUAAAACUCUGUUAUUAGGGAAGAACAUAUGUGUAAGUAACUGUGCACAUCUUGACGGUACCUAAUCAGAAAGCCACGGCUAACUACGUGC
rnacentral:rRNA from 1 species